UACGAAGGGGGCUAGCGUUGCUCGGAAUCACUGGGCGUAAAGGGUGCGUAGGCGGGUCUUUAAGUCAGGGGUGAAAUCCUGGAGCUCAACUCCAGAACUGCCUUUGAUACUGAGGAUCUUGAGUUCGGGAGAGGUGAGUGGAACUGCGAGUGUAGAGGUGAAAUUCGUAGAUAUUCGCAAGAACACCUGUGGCGAAGGCGCCUUGCUGGCCAAUUUCUGACGCUGAGGCGCGAAAAGCGUGGGGAGCAA
rnacentral:rRNA from 1 species